ACGAAGCGCCCAGGAAAAUGGCCGUCGGCCUGCCGAAGGAGUAACACUCUCAGGUGUCCCUGUUGGGACGAGGACUGUGCGUGGAUG
rnacentral:ncRNA from 2 species